GUGCCAGCAGCCGCGGUAAUACGUAGGAGACGAGCGUUAUCCGGAUUUACUGGGCGUAAAGAGGGCGUAGGCGGUCUUUCAAGUCGGAUGUGAAAUCUCCCGGCUUAACUGGGAGGGGUCAUUCGAUACUGUUGGGCUAGAGGGCAGCAGAGGGAGGUGGAAUUCCCGGUGUAGUGGUGAAAUGCGUAGAUAUCGGGAGGAACACCAGUGGCGAAGGCGGCCUCCUGGGCUGUUUCUGACGCUGAGGCCCAAAAGCGUGGGGAGCGAACAGGAUUAGAUACCCUGGUAGUCCACGCUGUAAACUAUGGACACUAGGUAUGGGGAGUAUCGACCCUCUCCGUGCCGAAGCUAACGCUUUAAGUGUCCCGCCUGGGGACUACGGCCGCAAGGCUAAAACUCAAAGGAAUUGACGGGG
rnacentral:rRNA from 1 species